rnacentral:misc_RNA from 1 species
GAACGCAUAUUGCGCUCUUUGGUAUUCCGAAGAGCAUGCUUGUUUGAGUAUCAGUAAACACCUCACAACCAAUUUUUUUUAUUAAAAUCUUGGAAGUGGACUUGAGUGAUCCCUACUCUCCUCGGAGAGGCAGGUUACUUGAAAUGCAGGUGCAGCUGGACUUACAACUGAGCUAUAAGCAUAUCUAUUUAGUCUCGUAAAACAGAUUAUUCAUUUUGCUAAAGCUACUCUAAGGUUGUAUUUCCAUAUGGCUGACUGAUGCAGGAUUCACAGAGUGGACGUCAAAAACCCAUUUUGUAAACUCGAUCUCAAAUCAAGCAAGACUACCCGCUGAACUUAAG